GCGGGCGUAGCUCAAUGGUAGAGCCUCAGUCUUCCAAACUGAUUACGGGAGUUCGAUUCUCCUCGCCCGCUCCA
rnacentral:tRNA from 1 species